rnacentral:lncRNA from 1 species
UGACUAAACCGUGUUGUGGGAAGAACCUUGGUAAAUAUAUCAUCAAAUUGAUCAACUGUACCAACAAAAUGAAUUUGAAUAUCACCAUGUAUAACUCAUCAGCAAAAUGAUAGUCUAGUUUGACAUGCUUGGUACAAGCAUAAUAAACUAGAUCGGAAGCACUAAUGUAGUUGGUUGUGAAGAAAAUGUGAUAAAACUAUAUGGUAUAUCAAUAAGAAACUAAAAACCUUAUGAUAUAUCAGAUGAAUUAAACACAGCAGAAAUAGAA